GUGCCAGCAGCCGCGGUAAUACGUAGGGUCCGAGCGUUGUCCGGAAUUAUUGGGCGUAAAGGGCUCGUAGGCGGUUUGUUGCGUCGGGAGUGAAAACCAGGUGCUUAACACCUGGCCUGCUUUCGAUACGGGCAGACUAGAGGCAUUCAGGGGAGAACGGAAUUCCUGGUGUAGCGGUGAAAUGCGCAGAUAUCAGGAGGAACACCGGUGGCGAAGGCGGUUCUCUGGGAAUGUUCUGACGCUGAGGAGCGAAAGUGUGGGGAGCGAACAGGAUUAGAUACCCUGGUAGUCC
rnacentral:rRNA from 1 species